CCUACGGGUGGCAGCAGUGAGGAAUAUUGGUCAAUGGGCGCGAGCCUGAACCAGCCAAGUAGCGUGAAGGAUGACUGCCCUACGGGUUGUAAACUUCUUUUAUACAAGAAUAAAGUGAGACACGUGUGCCUUUUUGUAUGUACUUUAUGAAUAAGGAUCGGCUAACUCCGUGCCAGCAGCCGCGGUAAUACGGAGGAUCCGAGCGUUAUCCGGAUUUAUUGGGUUUAAAGGGUGCGUAGGCGGGUUGUUAAGUCAGCGGUGAAAUGUCCGGGCUGAACCCGGGGACUGCCGUUGAUACUGGCGAUCUUGAGAGUAGGUGCGGUAGGCGGAAUGUGUGGUGUAGCGGUGAAAUGCUUAGAUAUCACGCAGAACACCGAUUGCGAAGGCAGCUUACCGGUCUAUAACUGACGCUGAGGCACGAAAGCGUGGGGAGCGAACAGGAUUAGAUACCCGGGUAGUC
rnacentral:rRNA from 1 species